AACGAACGCUGGCGGCAUGCCUAACACAUGCAAGUCGAACGAGACCUUCGGGUCUAGUGGCGCACGGGUGCGUAACGCGUGGGAACCUGCCCUUAGGUUCGGAAUAACUCCCCGAAAGGGGUGCUAAUACCGGAUAAUGUCUUCGGACCAAAGAUUUAUCGCCUUUGGAUGGGCCCGCGUUGGAUUAGCUAGUUGGUAGGGUAAAAGCCUACCAAGGCGACGAUCCAUAGAUGGUCUGAGAGGAUGAUCAGCCACACUGGGACUGAGACACGGCCCAGACUACUACGGGAGGCAGCAGUGGGGAAUAUUGGACAAUGGGCGAAAGCCUGAUCCAGCAAUGCCGCGUGAGUGAUGAAGGCCUUAGGGUUGUAAAGCUCUUUUACCCGGGAUGAUAAUGACAGUACCGGGAGAAUAAGCUCCGGCUAACUCCGUG
rnacentral:rRNA from 1 species